rnacentral:lncRNA from 1 species
GAUGGUCCUUCCUGUGGGGAUGCAGCAAAGAUGGAUGAGGCUAGGUCUGCCCCGCGCACCCUGUUUCCAGUGCUCCUUCACCAAGGAGGCCAACCAAACAUGGGAGCUUCUUAUGAAAGGGAAGCAUGUUCCUCUGGUGCUCAGUGAUAGAUGACCACCUUAGAGUAUGCAGCGCCCAGGGCAGGCUCAGGUGUCAAGAAGACUUGCUGUGGAGCUAGGCCCUGGCCAGGAUUUCACUCAGUAAUAAACUCUAGGUGUUCUUUUUCCUCUGUGAGUAGCUACCAAUGACAGAAUGGCGGGAUUCAAUGCUGAAGGUAAGCAGACCUGCUCAGAGAUCUGUUUAUCUACACAAUGAGUUAGCUUGCCCUGUGGCCCCAUCACUCUAUGUAAAUCUAGAUUAUUUUUAAGGAAUGGCAAAUAUAAGCCAUGAUUUAUUGUUAUCUCAUUAUACUAGGCACUGUGCAAAAUACAAUACAGUUUUCAUCUAUCAUAAUAACAACAGCUCUGCAAGGUAGACAUUAUUGCUUUUAUUUUAAAAUGAGGUGCCUAAGCAAGGUUAGACAGCUCCUUCAAGGUCACUGAUGAGCAGCCGAGCUGAGACUGGAGUCCAGGCCUAUGUAAUUCUAAGCUCUGCUCUCCUUCCUACGUGCCAUAUGAUGCAUACCCCACCACCAGGCUGCGGGAUGCUUGCCACCAGCCUCCUAGAGUAAAUGCUUAGCACACACACGGCAAACACCCACCUGCUCAUCCCCCCCAUAAGACUCACCGCAGUGAGCCUUCUCAGGACACUAACAGUAAGCAUGGUACACUCACCUUGAUAGAGUAACUCCCGUGUACAAGAAGUUUGUAGAAAACAUCUUCAUUGAACAGUGAGUGUCCAUUGCACAUGACUGUGCAUAUGAACAACAUAGCAUCUGGCCACACCCACCCCUCUUCAGCCAUGCCAAGGGUGGGCUGCAGAGUUACAACAGCUGUUUCGGAUUCCUGUAAGUGUUCAUGUCACCAUCAUGACAGGAAGUACAAGGUCCACUUCUCUUCGCCUCUGCUUCUUCAGAGUUAACAAACCAGGGAAGUGUGCCUUGUCUUUCUCCAGAUAGGUUGAAAAGGCCGCAGGAAUUCAGAGAGUAACCAACUCGUCACCAAUACAGCCUUUUUGCCAGGCCACCAGAACAUUGGAAAAGAUAGUUACUACUGCUAAGAGUCAUACCAUUGAGCAGAAUCUUCCACCGUGAAACAUUUUUCUGCGUGUCUUUGAAUUCUUUAAGCAAAGGCAGGGCAGUUUGACACUGGAAAUCACAACAAAGAAAAGCACAUUGCCCAUUCCCUAACCGCCAUUAUUAAAAUAAUUACUUCAUUUAUUGGAGUGUUUCACACUGCUGGACACUAUAGUGGAUGCUUUACACACAUUGUCUUAUUCAGUCCUCACAUUGAUCCUACAAAGACAUUAAUUUUAUUAUUUCCCUUUUGCAGAAGAAAACGAAAACAACUAAGAGUCAGAUUAAGUAAGCACAUAGCACACGACAGCAUAACCUGAGCCCUGGUUUGUUUGAAUCCCUCUAAAGCCCAUGCUUUUUCCUUUGUACCGGAUACCUAGAGGCCCCAAAGUUGUGUGCAAAAAAUGCCAGCCCAAAGGAAAAGCCAGCACGAAGUGGGGAGCCCGUCCAGUGCCACGUGGCGCUGUUGCUGUUUAGCCGUUACAAGAAGGGGAACGCAGUGUUCUGAAACUGCACAGGGACUGUAAACAAAAUAAAUGGAAGCUCUCAGAAUUGGUGCUAAUGCCUUGCUGGAGGCUGAUUUCAGAAGAAGCCUAUUGGGUAGCGUUUGAUAGGUAGCUUGGCCCCCAAAAUAUUAAAGUGCUGAGAACAAUGUCUGUUUUGUGAGUGUGUAUGCAUUUAAAGCAGUUUAUCUAUUCCUAUGCCAGUGCUUUCCGGUGCAUAUCAGAUCUCAAAUGCUUGCUUAGUUAUUUAAGAAUUCCAAGGAAGCCUGAAAUGAG